rnacentral:rRNA from 1 species
UACGGAGGAGGCAAGCGUUAUCCGGAAUUAUUGGGCGUAAAGAGCGUGUAGGCGGCCUGACAGGUCUGCUGUGAAAACUCGAGGCUCAACCUCGAGAUGUCGGCGGAAACCGUCUGGCUAGAGUCCGGAAGAGGAGAGUGGAAUUCCUGGUGUAGCGGUGAAAUGCGCAGAUAUCAGGAAGAACACCUAUGGCGAAGGCAGCUCUCUGGGACGGUACUGACGCUGAGACGCGAAAGCGUGGGGAGCGAACAGG